CCUACGGGCGGCUGCAGUGGGGAAUAUUGCACAAUGGGCGCAAGCCUGAUGCAGCCAUGCCGCGUGUGUGAAGAAGGCCUUCGGGUUGUAAAGCACUUUCAGCGGGGAGGAAGGCGUUAAGGUUAAUAACCUUGUCGAUUGACGUUACCCGCAGAAGAAGCACCGGCUAACUCCGUGCCAGCAGCCGCGGUAAUACGGAGGGUGCAAGCGUUAAUCGGAAUUACUGGGCGUAAAGCGCACGCAGGCGGUCUGUCAAGUCGGAUGUGAAAUCCCCGGGCUCAACCUGGGAACGGCAUUCGAAACUGGCAGGCUAGAGUCUUGUAGAGGGGGGUAGAAUUCCAGGUGUAGCGGUGAAAUACGUAGAGAUCUGGAGGAAUACCGGUGGCGAAGGCGGCCCCCUGGACAAAGACUGACGCUCAGGUGCGAAAGCGUGGGGAGCAAACAGGAUUAGAUACCCCUGUAGUC
rnacentral:rRNA from 1 species